rfam:Myotis lucifugus cont2.12364, whole genome shotgun sequence.
GGCAGUUCUCAGGUGAUGCACCCUGGAAUCAGGCUCCCUCCUCUCUGGUUCCAGGUGUGUCACCCGAGAACUGCA